GACGAACGCUGGCGGCGUGCUUAACCCAUGCAAGUCGAGCGGUAAGGCCCUUUCGGAGGUACACGAGCGGCGAACGGGUGAGUAACACGUGGGUGACCUGCCCUCAGCUCUGGGAUAAGCCUGGGAAACUGGGUCUAAUACCGGAUAUGACUCCAUGACGCAUGUUGUGGGGUGGAAAGCCUUGUGCGGCUGAGGAUGGGCCCGCGGCCUAUCAGCUUGUUGGUGGGGUGAGGCCUACCAAGGCGACGACGGGUAGCCGGCCUGAGAGGGCGACCGGCCACACUGGGACUGAGACACGGCCCAGACUCCUACGGGAGGCAGCAGUGGGGAAUCUUGCGCAAUGGGCGAAAGCCUGACGCAGCGACGCCGCGUGAGGGAUGACGGCCU
rnacentral:rRNA from 1 species